UAGGGAAUCUUCGGCAAUGGGGGGAACCCUGACCGAGCAACGCCGCGUGAGUGAAGAAGGUUUUCGGAUCGUAAAGCUCUGUUGUUAAGGAAGAACGAGUGGGAGAAUGGAAAGUUCAUACUGUGACGGUACUUAACCAGAAAGGGACGGCUAACUACGUGCCAGCAGCCGCGGUAAUACGUAGGUCCCGAGCGUUGUCCGGAUUUAUUGGGCGUAAAGCGAGCGCAGGCGGUUAGAUAAGUCUGAAGUUAAAGGCAGUGGCUCAACCAUUGUAGGCUUUGGAAACUGUUUAACUUGAGUGCAGAAGGGGAGAGUGGAAUUCCAUGUGUAGCGGUGAAAUGCGUAGAUAUAUGGAGGAACACCGGUGGCGAAAGCGGCUCUCUGGUCUGUCACUGACGCUGAGGCUCGAAAGCGUGGGGAGCGAACAGG
rnacentral:rRNA from 1 species